rnacentral:rRNA from 1 species
UACGUAGGGUGCGAGCGUUAAUCGGAAUUACUGGGCGUAAAGCGUGCGCAGGCGGCUUUGCAAGAUAGAUGUGAAAUCCCCGGGCUCAACCUGGGAACUGCAUUUGUGACUGCAUGGCUAGAGUACGGUAGAGGGGGAUGGAAUUCCGCGUGUAGCAGUGAAAUGCGUAGAUAUGCGGAGGAACACCGAUGGCGAAGGCAAUCCCCUGGACCUGUACUGACGCUCAUGCACGAAAGCGUGGGGAGCAAACAGG